UACGUAGGGUGCGAGCAUUAAUCGGAAUUACUGGGCGUAAAGCGUGCGCAGGCGGUUUUGUAAGACAGAUGUGAAAUCCCCGGGCUUAACCUGGGAACUGCGUUUGUGACUGCAAGGCUAGAGUACGGCAGAGGGGGUGGAAUUCCUGGUGUAGCAGUGAAAUGCGUAGAUAUCAGGAGGAACACCGAUGGCGAAGGCAGCCCCCUGGGCCUGUACUGACGCUCAUGCACGAAAGCGUGGGGAGCAAACAGG
rnacentral:rRNA from 1 species